AUACGGAGGGUGCAAGCGUUGUCCGGAUUUAUUGGGUUUAAAGGGUGCGUAGGUGGCUUUUUAAGUCAGUGGUGAAAUUUUGCAGCUCAACUGUAAAACUGCCAUUGAAACUGGGAAGCUUGAGUGUCGUAGAGGCAGGCGGAAUUUAUGAUGUAGCGGUGAAAUGCAUAGAUAUCAUAAAGAACACCGAUAGCGAAGGCAGCUUGCUAAGCGAUAACUGACACUAAUGCACGAAAGCGUGGGUAGCGAACAGGAUUAGAAACCCUAGUAGUCC
rnacentral:rRNA from 1 species